GACGAACGCUGGCGGCGUGCUUAACACAUGCGAGUCGAACGGAAAGGCCCUGCUUUUGUGGGGUGCUCGAGUGGCGAACGGGUGAGUAACACGUGAGUAACCUGCCCUUGACUUUGGGAUAACUUCAGGAAACUGGGGCUAAUACCGGAUAGGAGCUCCUGCUGCAUGGUGGGGGUUGGAAAGUUUCGGCGGUUGGAGAUGGACUCGCGGCUUAUCAGCUUGUUGGUGGGGUAGUGGCUUACCAAGGCUUUGACGGGUAGCCGGCCUGAGAGGGUGACCGGCCACAUUGGGACUGAGAUACGGCCCAGACUCCUACGGGAGGCAGCAGUGGGGAAUAUUGCACAAUGGGCGGAAGCCUGAUGCAGCAACGCCGCGUGCGGGAUGACGGCCUUCGGGUUGUAAACCGCUUUCGCCUGUGACGAAGCGUGAGUGACGGUAAUGGGUAAAGAAGCACCGGCUAACUACGUG
rnacentral:rRNA from 1 species